AAUGAUAGACAGCCUGCUGUGGGGAUUGAAUGUGAUGAAAAUAUCAACUUGGAUGAUGUUCAUGCAGCUUUCGAUUCAAUCAAGGAAAAUGAGGCUAAGACAAAGAUACCACAUAUUCCAAGUUUCAUCAAUGCUUUUCAGCUAAUAGCAAUGUCACAAGACCUUGAUUUGUCAAGACUAUUCGAAGAACAGG